rnacentral:rRNA from 1 species
CUGUGGUAAUUCCAGAGCUAAUACAUGCAACCUGCUUGCCCUGAUGGUGCCGCUUGGGUGCGUUCACGCGUGCUCCUGUGUGUGUGCCUGACGGGUGCUUUUAUUANACCAAACAUUGCUGGUGGCGCAAGCUGCUAGACUCGUGAUAUGGUGACUCUGGAUAACCUUUUGACAAGCGCACGUACUUCWUUCAUGGAGACGGCGCUGCCACUUUCGAGUGUCUGCCUUAUCAGCUAUCAACCGUUCGUUAUGUGCGACCGAUGGCUUUGACGGGUAACGGGGAAUCAGGGUUCGAUUCCGGAGAGGCAGCCUGAGAAACGGCUACCACGUCCAAGGACGGCAGCAGGCGCGCAAAUUACCCAAUCCCAGCAAUUGGGGGAGGUAGUGACGAUAUAUAACGAUGCGGGCGCCCAUUCUGGGCCUCGCAAUCGGAAUGAACAUUUUCUAAAACACCUGUUGAGAACCUACUGAAGGGCAAGUCUGGUGCCAGCAGCCGCGGUAAUUCCAGCUUCAGCGGCAUAUUUUAAAGUUGCUGCGGUUAAAAGGCUCGCAGUUGAAUGUCAGUGUUGGACGAUGGUAAGGUGGACGCUGGAGCAUGGGAUCUAUUCGCGCUCGCGUGCUGUUUGGUGGCCCGCGGCGUAGCGCUUACGCGUGAAACCCUCGCCAUCGGCUCUCGCGGGCGUCUCUCACAAGCUCCCGUCUGUUUGAAGCCUCCUCGCUCCAGUACAUAGGCGGUAACUCCUCUCGUCGGAUUGCGUGCGCCUCUGCCGGUCUAGCGAAAGCCGUCUCCUCCUCACUCGUUUUUUCGUUUGAUGGUUUUGGUCUCUAGCUUGGCGCCAAUGGCUUGGCGUCUUCGCGCCGAGGAGUGGGGCGUGGUCCUGCGCGCGAGUGUUGGCGUGCUUGUCUGAGGCGCGUGGGCGUCGGGGUCUUCCGACUUCGGCACAACCCUCGCGUUCUCUCUCGCAGGUCCCUCGCGUCUGCGCGCGUCUCUGUGUGCGUGUUGCCGCAUUGUCGCCUUGAGUAAAUCGGAGUGCUCAAAGCAGUCGUAAAGGGUUUCGGCCCUGUGAUGAGUCUUGACGGACUGUCUUGAUUUCGCAUGGUAUGUCGGAAAACGACGUCGAGUGCUGGCUAAGAGUCUAUAGAAGUGGUUUCAAGCCAAAGCCUCGACGUAAUGAUUAAAAGGAACGGUCGAGGGCAUUGGUAUUGCGAGGCGAGAGGUGAAAUUCUAUGACCCCCGCAAGACGGCCUGAAGCGAAAGCGUCUGCCAAGGACGUUUUYAUUAAUCAUGAACGAAAGUUAGAGGAUCGAAGGCGAUCAGAUACCGCCCUAGUUCUGACCCUAAACGAUGCCAACCAUCAAUCCGCGUGAGCACCCUUUUUGACGGGCUCGGCGGGCAGUUCUCUUUUCACGGUAAACCAGAGUCUCUGGGUUCCGGGGGGAGUCUGGUUGCAAAGCUGAAACUUAAAGGAAUUGACGGAAAGGCACCACCAGGAGUGGAGCCUGCGGCUUAAUUUGACUCAACACGGGCCAUCUCACCAGGCCAGAACUCUAGCACGAUUGACAGAUUGAGAGCUCUUUCUCGAUUGAGUGGAUGGUGGUGCAUGGCCGUUCUUAGUUGGUGGAGUGAUCUGUCUGGUUAAUUCCGAUAACGAACGAGACUCUCCCCUGCUAACUAGUCGGUUGGAUCUUGUAUUUCGAUGCGAGUCGUGCUCCGGGUUUUCCUUCGCCUCGUGGCGGCGUUGUGAGUUUCCUGUUUCGCGCUGGGCGUGUUCGUUCGUGGGCGCCGUUGCGCGAAAGCGUAGCUGUGUUCGCGUGCGUUCGUGCUUCGGCGUGGGGCUGGCUCUCUGCCGUUCGUUGCUUGGUGUGUCUGGUUUUCCCGGGUCGUACACUCCAAGUCCGCCGCUUAUGCUNUAAAACUCUUCUUAGAGGGAUCAACGGCUCUGAAGCCGNACGAGACUGAGAGCAAUAACAGGUCUGUGAUGCCCUUAGAUGUUCUGGGCCGCACGCGCGCUACAAUGCCGGGCACAGCAGGUGUUUUACCCACUCCGAAAGGAGCGGGCAACCCUCUGAAAACCCCAUCUCAUCWAAUGUAUCGGCUGGCGAGAAAUCGUCGGUCGUGUUCAUUGGCGUGCUUGGGCCUGGGGCUUGCAAUUCUUUCCCACAAACGAGGAAUGCCUAGUAGCGGCGG